rnacentral:rRNA from 1 species
GACGAAGGUGGCGAGCGUUGUUCGGAAUCACUGGGCAUAAAGAGCACGUAGGCGGCUAAGUCAGUCGGAUGUGAAAUACCUCGGCUCAACCGAGGAACUGCGUCCGAUACUGCUUGGCUUGAGGUCCGGAGGGGAGAGUGGAAUUCCCGGUGGAGCGGUGAAAUGCGUAGAGAGUCGGGAAGAACGCCGGCGGCGAAAGCGACUCUCUGGUCGGAAUCGUGACGCUGAGGUGGCGAAAGCUAGGGGAGCAAACAGGG